rnacentral:rRNA from 1 species
CUCAGAUUGAACGCUGGCGGCAGGCCUAACACAUGCAAGUCGAGCGGAUGACGGGAGCUUGCUCCUUGAUUCAGCGGCGGACGGGUGAGUAAUGCCUAGGAAUCUGCCUGGUAGUGGGGGACAACGUUUCGAAAGGAACGCUAAUACCGCAUACGUCCUACGGGAGAAAGCAGGGGACCUUCGGGCCUUGCGCUAUCAGAUGAGCCUAGGUCGGAUUAGCUAGUUGGUGGGGUAAUGGCUCACCAAGGCGACGAUCCGUAACUGGUCUGAGAGGAUGAUCAGUCACACUGGAACUGAGACACGGUCCAGACUCCUACGGGAGGCAGCAGUGGGGAAUAUUGGACAAUGGGCGAAAGCCUGAUCCAGCCAUGCCGCGUGUGUGAAGAAGGUCUUCGGAUUGUAAAGCACUUUAAGUUGGGAGGAAGGGCAGUAAGUUAAUACCUUGCUGUUUUGACGUUACCGACAGAAUAAGCACCGGCUAACUCUGUGCCAGCAGCCGCGGUAAUACAGAGGGUGCAAGCGUUAAUCGGAAUUACUGGGCGUAAAGCGCGCGUAGGUGGUUUGUUAAGUUGGAUGUGAAAGCCCCGGGCUCAACCUGGGAACUGCAUCCAAAACUGGCAAGCUAGAGUACGGUAGAGGGUGGUGGAAUUUCCUGUGUAGCGGUGAAAUGCGUAGAUAUAGGAAGGAACACCAGUGGCGAAGGCGACCACC